UACACGGUAGUAAUGUGUGUGUA
rnacentral:siRNA from 1 species